ACAAAACCUCCAAUCGCUGCUCGCCACGUGUCUGCUGCUUUAACCAUUUUUUCUUUCAGCCCCUUUCCCUGUUCAUCCCCUACGAUGACAAACCUAGAUUGCUUUGGCAUGUACCCCUUUCUACAACAACACAGAUAGGCUGCAAAGGGGAAAGAGCUCAGCAGCCGGCCCUGAUCCCCACCACCGCAUGGCCACCUCCACAGCCCCACUCACCACCGAGCCACAACCUCCAAAUCAACUACCACCGCACCACCUCCUCUCUUCCCCUCAAACCCAACACCGACGGCCACCUCUUCACCGUUAGAAUUGCGCCUCCACCGCCAUCGCUCACUUUCUUUCCAAAUCGUACCGCCGUCGCCCUUCCGUCCUUUUUCCCCAACUUCUCGCUUCCUCUGGAUCAACGUCACCGAUUUUCCCCGUUUCCAGCGGUUACCGACAUCACUCUGCACAAAAGCUUACUUUCCACGACCCUCAGCGUGCUCCCACGGAUUCUCCGGUGAUGGCCAUCACAUCUCCAUGUCAACCAUCACGUGGAUAUGUGUACUCUAGAGCUCUACUUUUCUAAAUCAACGGUUCUGCUGGAGUAAUUAAUAAAAUUAUGCAGGAGGGACAAUGGUAAUUGUGCAGGAAGGAUUGUGAACUCAAAGCAUUCGUGAAGCUAUUCCGGCACAGGGCAGUUUUAUCUCUUCCAGGAACCGGUUGAUUAAUUCUAGCUCUAUAAGGCUAUUUAUUUUGUUCACCGUCGAUUUCGGAGGCGGGACAAAAGAACCAAUUUGCUUUUGUCUUUGUUCUCCAAUUUGGAUAAACUUUUGGCACCAAACCGACCAUGUCCCAGCAGCUUAUGGGUUGGUAUCCUUGCAUUACACAAAACAUUGAGUGAUCAACUAAGGAAUCCCUUGGUUGUUGCAGCAUUUAGCCUUGCAGUUCAUAAUGGUGGAAAUUUGUUGGAAGCAAUAGACAUAUCUAGGAGGAUCAACAAACCUCAUGAUGACAAAUUUCCUGAAUUAUUAGAUCCUUCGGAUCUGGAUGCAGAGGCUUUGGCAGAUGAGAUUUUGGAUCUUGAGGAGUCUGUUAAAGAGACACUAUUACAGAUGACAACUAGGCAUAUGGUAUCUCAAGCUAUGGCUGACUAUCCUCAAGCUCCUCAUCCAGAUAUGGUUUUCAUCUCUUUAGGAAUGUACCUAAAAGCUAUAAGUAUUUUUUAUUGCUUAAGAGCAAGGGCUGGUAGGAAUUUUUUGUCAAAGCAAGUUAUAAAAACUGAUUACGAGUCCUUAGCUCAUGGUGACCUGCAAGAAGUAUGGCACAUGUUAGCAAUGGUUGUAUUUGAUAUUGUAUAUCCACUGCACUUGGACCGAGAUCAGUCUUGAAAGAGAACUAAAUUUGUAGGAGACAAUUUGAAGUUUAUUAGAAAAUGAAAUUGUGAGAAACUUGAUGCUGGUGUAGGCAUUCUAUCAUAGGGAAAUCGCUGGAUGAAAAUUGGAAUAGAAAUGUGGUGAAGGUCUGAUUCCAGCAUUUGACAUUUUAGUAGUGCUUGCAGAUAUUUAUCAACUGUGGUGUUGAAAGUUAGGAAAAUAUGUCAGUUUGUUAGGGACUCUUUGGGUCUCUCUAUUAUGAACACAAAUGAGAAUAAAAUGUGAAGUUUAUAGAA